GGUCCCGGUGCCCCUGGCUUGGGGAGGCAGCUCCACAGCCAGAGUGUUGCUCCGUUUGUGCCCAGAAAGCGCCUGCCAGACCGGGCCUUCCCUGGAGCUGUCCUGCCGCCUAGAGGCAGGUGGAUGUGCUGUGCGGGCUUCCCCUGUGCGUUUGGGCUCCCUAGCACAGCCGCAGCGCAGGGGAACCAGCCCAUCAUCAGUGAGCUCCGGGCAGUACUUUGGUCCCAGGUUUGGAGCCCAAUGCCCGGAACGCGGGAGAGA
ensembl:lncRNA